rnacentral:lncRNA from 1 species
AUUGAAUCUCUGGGAGGUUGAGCGGUCAUCCAGGUCAUGCCAUGGGAUCUGAAGCCAGGUCUACACUCUGGAUUUCUGUGUGUCACCUCUCUUCUGUUGUCAAUGUGUGGCUGGCCCAGUCCAGUUCCUUACCCCAACCUUUUUUUCUUAAUGUGAAAAAUAGCCAGAACUCCAGAAAUCUUGUUUAUGUAGCUGACCGCAUCUCUGAACAAGCAUUUCUCCGUCUUUAAUGUGGAAGUGAACAAUGUGGCCAAGAUGGGAGCAGAUCUUGCUAAGAUGUAUUCUGCUCCUGCUGUCGGGGGAGAGGCCCAGGAAGGGGCAUUUCUACCAUAUCCCCAGGAGAUCCUGUGUCUGCUGGUCCGCCUGCCUCAUGGUGCAGGUCUGUUCUAAUGAUCUCUCCCCUGGUUAGCACACACCCAUCAGGGUGGCUCCGCUCUGUCAGUCAUCCUGAUGUUUUGCAUUUGUCCUUUUGGACAACAGGGGGCUCUGCAAGCUUGAAAAGCUGUGUCUCAUCACACACUCCACAGGCCAGACUUCACCACACCAAACAGCAUUAAUGCCUCUGCACCUCUGGGGUUCUUCAUUGUUCCAAAUACAAAAUUGCUCAAAUGACCGAGUGUGGAAUAUUCUGGACUCUGACUCAGCUGGCUGCAGGUUGAAUGAUGUGGCUCCAAAGCUUGUUCCCCCAGCACUGGAGCUACAGGGGCGAGCCAGACCCUGCACCGUGAGGUCAGGUGAGGAUGAAGGCAUUAUAGACCCCCUGCUCGGGUGUUUGUGGAAAUGCCUUCCUGGAGGAGACCUGGAAGGCUGGGCUGCCUGGGGUUUACAGUGGGCAGAAGUUUCUAGCGUAAGAAGCCUCCUAAGCUGUCAGGGAGAGGAGUUGACAGGAAGGGAGGAACCAUCCAGGAAAAAUAGUGACAGGAGCAGCAGAGACCACCGUCACAGAGCCACAGUGCCCCGGAACAGGACUUGGCUUCACUUGGCAUUGGCCCCCAUGACUGAGUCUGCAUCCUUGGUUCAAAGUCUUGAGAGGUCAAAGCUGACUGACCCAUUGGGGAGGUGGCUUCUUCAGCCAAGAUAAGCCAAGCUAGAAACCUGUCUAUUCCUGUUCAACGUCUUUUGCUGCCAGGCUCACACCUUCUUCUCCCCAUCAGACGGUUUUCAAGCCUCCUCCAUCUGUCAAGAUACCAGGGCACGAACGAGGGCACGAACGUGAACUUGCCAGUAAGAAACGCCCCAGGCACAGCCGACAACCACCCCCAGAGAUGACCCUACUGGCUGUUUUCAAUCUCUGUUCAAUCUCUGUAACAAUCUCUGGGGACAUCGGUUUCUCCCCUGGCUCUAAAGCACGCAAGCCCUAUGUCACCACCUCACAAUUAAGAAGCUGAAGGAUUAAAGCCAUCCCCAGCCUCACAUCCUUUAUAUGAUUAUGAAACACGAACUGGGCUUUAGCAACUUAAUCCAGGGCAAAUUAUACCCAGGCAACCUGGGCCCCUUUUAUAGCUGCCACUGGAAGGAGGAUUGUUAAAAAAAUAAUCAGUACUGCAGUAGGGCUAGAGAAUUGCACCUAAUGUCACUUGCUGACUCGGCUCCGUGGCGGGGUGGGGGCUGUGCAUUGGUCAGCAAGCCCCACUCCUAGGGGGACAGGGACUGUGGUCUUUACAUUCCUCUCAGUGCUUGCUAAGGUACGGGCCGUGCCCACAGUGGACUUUGGUACAUGGUAAAAAUCUCUUUGGCCAGAGAUUGAGAAAUCUUUGAGAUCGUAGUAUUAUG